rnacentral:snRNA from 1 species
GGACAGUGGCCUUUGACAUUUGUCACCCCAAUGAUCGUCAGGUUGAUUUGGCUGAUCAGGCUGGCCAGGCAGGUGUCGCCUUCCUCCCUCAACACUCCAUGUGCGUCCCUCCCGAAGCUGCGCGCUCGGUUGAAGAGGACGACCUUCCCCGAAUAGAGGAGGACCGGUCUUCGGUCAAGGGUAUACGAGUAGCUGCGCUCCCCUGCUAGAACUUCCAAACAAGCUCCCAGAGAAGCUUCUUUCAGCAGUGUCAGUGAUAACUGCAGAGAAUCUAAGUGAUCAAAGUGACAAUAAGUGACUGUUAAAGGCU